rnacentral:rRNA from 1 species
AGUGAACGCUGGCGGUAGGCCUAACACAUGCAAGUCGAACGGCAGCACAGUAAGAGCUUGCUCUUACGGGUGGCGAGUGGCGGACGGGUGAGGAAUACAUCGGAAUCUACUUUUUCGUGGGGGAUAACGUAGGGAAACUUACGCUAAUACCGCAUACGACCUACAGGUGAAAGCAGGGGAUCUUCGGACCUUGCGCGAUUGAAUGAGCCGAUGUCGGAUUAGCUAGUUGGCGGGGUAAAGGCCCACCAAGGCGACGAUCCGUAGCUGGUCUGAGAGGAUGAUCAGCCACACUGGAACUGAGACACGGUCCAGACUCCUACGGGAGGCAGCAGUGGGGAAUAUUGGACAAUGGGCGCAAGCCUGAUCCAGCCAUACCGCGUGGGUGAAGAAGGCCUUCGGGUUGUAAAGCCCUUUUGUUGGGAAAGAAAAGCAGCAGGUUAAGACCCCGCUGUUCUGACGGUACCCAAAGAAUAAGCACCGGCUAACUUCGU